rnacentral:pre_miRNA from 1 species
ACAACAACAUUCGGACCGUCGGUCUACCGAGCAAUAUCACCCGCUCGGUGGAAGAUCUUCCCUUCGUCGUUAAGC